AGGGAUACAGCUCAGUGGUAGAGUACUUGGCUAUCAUGCAUGAAGCCCUGUGUUCCAUUCCCAGUAUCUCAA
rnacentral:tRNA from 1 species